rnacentral:rRNA from 1 species
GCGAACGGGUGAGUAAUACAUAGGUAACCUGCCCCUGUGCGGGGGAAUAACAGGAGGAAACUCCUGCUAAUACCGCAUAGCCAUGAGCACCGCAUGGAGCUCAUGCCAAAUAUCCUUUAUGGGAUAGCGCAGGGAUGGACCUAUGGCGCAUUAGCUGGUUGGCGGGGCAACGGCCCACCAAGGCAACGAUGCGUAGCCGGCCUGAGAGGGCGGACGGCCACAUUGGGACUGAGACACGGCCCAGACUCCUACGGGAGGCAGCAGUAGGGAAUUUUCGGCAAUGGGGGAAACCCUGACCGAGCAACGCCGCGUGAGCGAAGAAGGCCUUCGGGUCGUAAAGCUCUGUUGUAAAGGAAGAACGGCGCAUACAGGAAAUGGUAUGCGAGUGACGGUACUUUACCAGAAAGCCACGGCUAACUACGUGCCAGCAGCCGCGGUAAUACGUAGGUGGCGAGCGUUAUCCGGAAUCAUUGGGCGUAAAGAGGGAGCAGGCGGCCGCAAGGGUCUGUGGUGAAAGACCGAAGCUAAACUUCGGUAAGCCAUGGAAACCGGGCGGCUAGAGUGCGGAAGAGGAUUCGUGGAAUUCCAUGUGUAGCGGUGAAAUGCGUAGAUAUAUGGAGGAACACCAGUGGCGAAGGCGACGGUCUGGGCCGCAACUGACGCUCAUUCCCGAAAGCGUGGGGAGCAAAUAGGAUUAGAUACCCUAGUAGUCCACGCCGUAAACGAUGGUCACUAAGUGUCGGGGGGU